rnacentral:rRNA from 1 species
GAUGAACGCUGGCGGCGUGCCUAAUACAUGCCAGUCGAACGAAACUUCUUUAUCACCGAGUGCUUGCACUCACCGAUAAAGGGUUGAGUGGCGAACGGGUGAGUAACACGUGGGCAACCUGCCCAAAAGAGGGGGAUAACACUUGGAAACAGGUGCUAAUACCCCAUAACCAUAGUUACCGCAUGGUAACUAUGUAAAAGGUGGCUAUACUACCGCUUUUGGAUGGGCCCGCGGCGCAUUAGCUAGUUGGUAGGGUAAAGGCUUACCAAGGCAAUGAUGCGUAGCCGAACUGAGAGGAUGAUCGGCCACAUUGGGACUGAGACACGGCCCAGACUCCUACGGGAGGCAGCAGUAGGGAAUCUUCCACAAUGGGCGAAAGCCUGAUGGAGCAACGCCGCGUGGGUGAAGAAGGUCUUCGGGUCGUAAAACCCUGUUGUUAGGGAAGAAAGUGCGUGGGAGUAAAUGUUCACGUUUUGACGGUACCUAACCAGAAAGCCACGGCUAACUACGUG